rnacentral:lncRNA from 1 species
UAUGGUUCCUAUAGAUAUAAUUUUUUUAUUAUUUAAUAUAUAAAAUUAUAUUUAUUCAACACGUACAAUAAAUAAGGUUUUAAAGAUAUAUUGUUUUAUUUAUAUAAAUUUUUUUAUUCAACCUCGUGUGAUACACGGGGUUUUAUAACCUAAUAUUUAAAAAAAGAAAAACUGUUUUCCAAAGUACAAGAAUCCAAUCACACUAAUAUUAUAUUCUAAUAAAAUAUAAAUUUCUAUAUCAUGGUUCAAUAAAAUAUAAGUUCCUUACGAUACUAUUACUACCUUGUCAAAGUUCAAUAAAAUAUAGAUUCCUGAGGCGUACAAGAUUGUUUGAGAUUCAUUGAUGUUGCUUGUUAGGAUAAAAAAAACAAAACUAAAAUAAUCAUGUACAUAGUCUUUCUAGCAAAGGAUAAAAAAACAAAACUAAAAUAAUCAAGGACAUAGUCUUUCCAGCAAUCUAGUGGAUCCGGCCCAAGUUUGCUGUCUAAGACUUCACGGUGUGGGGUUUUCUGGUUUUGAGUUGACAAGCGGCGGAGGUGGGCUUCACAUGGUGUGGCUUAGCUGGACGUGACCUUUUUUUAUGGGGUGGCGUGGCUUUUUUUUAGCUGGGCAUGACCAGCCCUGUUAAAAUUUUCAUUUAAUUAACCAGCCAAUCUCAUCCAUCCACAUCAUCUCCCAACCCGCUCCACACCAGGCUUCAUAGCCACGCUAACGGGGCAAUGCCGCUACUCACACUGGCCCAGUGUGGCUAAAGCAACAUUGCUUGGCUACCCACGCCCCCCAACACCAACACCAACACAAACCCACACCCCACGGUCUAAAAGUUAAAUCUGGUUAGUGAUUUCUACGUUUUUUUAUAUAAACAGCAAUAAUGGAUUUAUAUUAGAAUCACAAGGGAGUAGCUGAAAUAGUACAUAUGAUCACACCAAAUUCAAAAAUAUGGAUAACAAGGAGACUCCUUGUGAAAUACAACUAAUGUAUUUGCACCGUGAGACUGCAGCAGGGCUAGCCGGGGCUAAGGGCGGCGUGGGCGCUCGCCCAAACACACUUUCCGGGGUUCUAAAAAUUAAAUAGAAAAAAUUAUACAUAUUUUUUUGCUAAAGAAAAGGCUGAAAUUUAAUUUAAAACCUAGUAAUAUUUACAACCCAAUAAAUUUAAAAAAAAAAAAAUCCAUUAACCUUAUUAUUUAGUUUUGGCGUAUUUUAACACUACUCAUUUGUCAUUUAACCCGGCUACUCAAUAUAUCUUUUAAACCAAAAUAGUAAAAUUCAAGAAGCGGAAGCGGCAACUAUAGAUUCGAGAAAGGAAAGAAACAACAAGGGCCCUGUUCUUAUCCACGAUUGGGUUUUCAGUGAUGAGAGUGUGA